GUUGUGGUUGGGACAGAGCGAUAUCACAGAGCCGAGGCAAUUGAGAAAUGCUUGCUGGUAUCUCUCUCUUUUCUCCUUCGUUCUUCUCUUCUCUGACCUAACUGUAGAGCCACUCGACAUUUCUUCCUUGCCUCUUUCAUCUGCUUUUCUUUCGAUCUUUCGUUUUGUUUUUUUUAAUCAGUACUUUCUGCAAUCUUGAAGCCGAUUGUAGUUUUUCCUAGUCGAACUAACCUAAAGCCUUGAGUUUUUGUUUUACAUACGGAUGUUAGCUAGGAUUCAACCAUGGCAGCGCUGCUGAAUACCGUGUCUCCAGCCGCAAAUCUGUCAUCCAAAACGAAAAGGAAUGGUUCUAGCUUUCACUCCCUGAUUCCAAACAUUCAUGCCCUUUCACUCUACAGGGGUUUUCCUAGGGUUUUGUCAUAUACCCAGAUAGCUAUUUCUCCUAAAGAUACUGUUUUUACUCUGCCGGAUUGGAGGAUUGGGAAGAACGACCCCAGAAGCAAGGAGCUUAGAGUUAAUAAUGCAUUCCUCCAUCUAGAGCAUAUGGUAGGCAAAGGCCACAAGCCUGAUGUAACUCAAGCAACUCAGCUGUUGUAUGAUCUUUGCAAGGCUAACAAAAUGAGGAAAUCUGUCAGGGUAAUGGAGAUGAUGGUAGGGUCAGGUAUUAUACCUGAUGCGGCUUCCUACACAUACUUGGUCAAUUAUCUAUGCAAGAGAGGUAAUGUUGGGUAUGCAAUGCAAUUAGUUGAAAGAAUGGAGGAACGUGGUUUCCCAACUAAUACUGUUACCUAUAACACUCUAGUUAAAGGGCUGUGCAUGCAUGGGAGUUUAAAUCAAAGCUUGCAACUUCUAGAUCGAUUAACAAAGAAGGGGUUGGUUCCAAAUGUAUUCACUUAUUCUUUUUUACUUGAAGCUGCUUAUAAGGAAAGGGGAUCUGAUGAAGCCAGGAAACUUCUAGAUGAAAUAAUUGCCAAGGGCGGGAAGCCCAAUUUAGUGAGUUACAAUGUUGUGUUGACAGGUUUAUGCAAGGAAGGACGGACAGAAGAAGCUAUUAAGCUUUUCAGGGAAUUGCCAGCAAAGGGGUUUGAUCCUAGUGUUGUGAGUUAUAACAUUUUGCUGAGGAGUUUGUGCUACGAAGGGAGGUGGGAGGAGGGAAAUGAGCUUUUAGCUGAGAUGCAUGGAAAUAAUCAGCCUCCCUCUGUUGUUACCUAUAACAUAUUAAUUACUUCUCUUUCCCUCCAUGGAAAAACUGAACAUGCUUUCAAGGUUUUAGAUGAAAUGACAAGGAGCGGAUUCAAGGCAACUGCAGCCAGCUAUAAUCCGAUCAUUGCCCGCCUCUGUAAUGAAGGGAAGGUGGAUCUUGUAGUUCAGUGUCUGGAACAAAUGGUACUUCGGCAUUGUAAUCCUAAUGAAGGGACAUACAAUGCUAUUGCGAUGCUUUGUGAGGUGGGGAAGAUACAAGAUGCAUUCUUCAUAAUCCAAAGCUUGGGUAAUAAACAUAAUUCCCCCAUGCAUGAUUUCUACCAAACUGUCAUUUCAAGUUUGUGCAGGAAGGGGAACACGUAUCCAGCUUUUCAGCUACUAUAUGAAAUGACGAAGUAUGGAUUUACUCCAGACUCUUAUACUUAUUCAUCUCUGAUUAGAGGAAUGUGUAGAGAGGCCAUGUUGGAUGAGGCCAUUGAGAUAUUCAGGGUUUUGGAAGAAAAUGAGUACAGGCCUGAUACCGAUAACUAUAAUGCACUUAUACUUGGUCUCUGCAAGUCUCGAAGAACAGACUUGUCUGUGGAGAUGUUUCAGAGGAUGAUAGAAAAAGGGUGCAUGCCUAAUGAGACAACAUACACCAUUCUUAUUGAAGGGCUUGCUUUCGAAGGAGAAAUGGAUAUGGCUGCCAAGCUUUUGAAGGAGUUGCAUUUGAAAGACGUUCUGAGCCAAAGUACUGUUGAAAGACUCGACAUGCAGUAUCGCUUCAAGGAAUUGUCAGAAUAAAGAGAAACACCCUCAUGGCAGAUAACCGCACAAAGGAAAGAGGAUCACGACUUAUUUCAGAUCUGAAUGAUUAGGAUGGACCAUUGAGUGUAAUCGUGGUUACAGGUAACAUUAGGAUCUUGAACAGCCAUCGAAAUAUUGCUCCUAAAUACUUGGAAAUUUUGCUCGAGUGUUUAGAGAUAACUAAAUAAAGGAACUAGGAUGCACAUGUACUCAUCGUCCCUUUCUGUCCAGAUUUUCCCGGAAAGAAAACCUUAACACCGUAGUAUGAUGAUUGAAUGGCUCCUCGUAACAUUUUUCCUUGUCUACAGAUCUCAUGGUCCUGUGAGCAUAUGCUUCGAGACCUUCAUCAGUUAAAAAUACUUACCUUGGUGACUCGUAUUGCGCUCUUUAAAACAUCCGAAGUGCUUUCUGAGAUGCUGCAUGUGACCCUAUGUAUAUAUGCACUUCCCUUGAUAACUCUCGGCUCCCCUUCACUUCAGAUUGCCGCUCAGCUGUGAAUAGCUGUGCUGCAAUUUUCUUUUGGGGACUGGCUACUUAAAUUUCUUGCCCUUUUUGCUUAUUCUCGUACGGAGCUUGUUCGCACUGAGUUUAAUAAUCCAAAAAUGAUAUCGUUAAGAUACA